UCCGCCCCUGGAUAGGAGGUUUGAUCGAAAGUAAAAGAGAACUCUUGAAAAGAGGCUUGCUAACAUCUUUCCAAUUGCUUCCAAUUUUCACUUUCUUCAAGUGCAUGCUCCAAAGCUCCCAAAUAAGAAGCAAUGUAAAUGUUAAUUAACAAUAUAUAUCAACAUAAAUAAAUCUUGCAUAAUCAGUCAAUAGUUGUUCCUAUC
rnacentral:lncRNA from 1 species